UAUAUUGCGGCGAUUUGUAACAAGCACUAUUGUCUCUAUUAUCUCAUAACUCUUUUAUUUUCAGACAUUUAUUUUUGCACGUAUCGUACGCGCGCGCAUUUCCGUUACAGCGACUGUGCUUAUUCAACAGGUUUACAACAAGGAGUAGUAGAAAUCGCUCUCGAGAGUCCCCACGCUUAUGUUUCAUAAAUGGAGCAGAAAAAUUAUUCUUCGUACGCCGGUGCUCCUAUCGAUAUGAAGAGGUACGAUAACAUUGGCGGCGAGACGAUAGCAUCCCGUGCGAGGAUCGAUGCUGGUAUCGAUAAAAUUAAAGACAAGACAACAAAUUAACGGUGGAACGUUAUGUCAUCGAAAUAAAUUAACAGCCACCUUCUGGUUAAGGCUGCAUCAGAUAUUAUGGUGAGCGUUGCGCGAUCGCAGAUAUCUAAAAUUAGGUACGCGAGCAUUAAUAUGUAUUAUUGCGACUUAAGCUGUCGGGAGUCCUUGAUAUCAGUGACUAAACAUCUCGCCUACCUUAUAACGUUGCGUUAUGACUCCACAAUGCUGCACGCGUUAAUCACCAUUGCCAUUUCUCUACGUCAUCAUUCUUGCAACUCCGUUCUCCGCGAAUACGUUAUCUGCAAUUAUUAUCUGCAAAUAUUUCCGUUUGUAACUAUCUCUUAGACUCGUCGGGCUGAUCUGCGAUGUACGUGAGGUUCUUCGAUUUUCUGAGUUUCAGUGCAAUUUGCGUUCGAUAAAAUCCAAUUAUCUGACUUACGUAAUGAGCCAAUGAAUGUGGAUAACGCAUUUAACGCCCGGCGUUCGGGCGAUGUAUAAGCGUCGUCACAAAGUGUAUUUUCGAGCGCGAAACUUGCACGAUAUGGUCAUUGUACUGUAAUCUCUCAUUAGGAAGUCUGAAAUUAUCGCGCGAAUAAUGACAACGUGCAUGGUGACAAUCGGGAAAAUGCUGAAACUAAAGACAACAUAUUUUAUAAUGGGCGGACGGAAUAAAAUGAAUUAAACGCUACGCUGUAAAAGAAGCCUGUCAUUUUUAUUAGCACACAUAAAGCAAAAGAAAUGUAUAUUUCUAUUCGUAUACAUACGAAUUUGUAAAGAUAAACAUCACCAACAAUUCCAAUCGAAUGCGAUUGAUCGAACUUUCGAGUUUUUAAAAAACCUUUGUUUUUAAAAAUUUACGUCCUUUUUGCACUACGUGGUAAUAAAAAUGACAGUUUUUUUUUUCUUGUAGGAUAUUGCUUAAUUCAUUUCUCCUGGAUUCUGUCAAUUUAUUGCAAGACAUUAAUCAUUUAGUUUCUCCGUGCAGGACUGUGUAGGACUGUGAUUUUUUUUUAAUCAUCUAAGAAUAGAUAUUGUAUCAUAUGUGGUUUUAAAUCAUUAAACUGUUAUUUCGAGUCUCGUCAAUAUUUACCGCAUGUGUCAGGCGAUAUAUUACGCAGAUUCGAUCGUGGUGAGUAUCCUGGGCUCGGUGCGAUUAGCCAAACAGAGCCCUCGAACUCUUCUCUCGUUCGGCAGAAAAUUAGUUCGCCGAUCUGUUGCUCGAAAAUAUCGAUCGCGGUGCAAGCCUGAGACUGAAAUCUCACGAAGGUGCCAAAUUUCAUUUUUAUUCGCAUAUUUAACGAAAUGCCAAAAACUAGCCGCAAAGUUAGCGUCUAAAAAAAAA